GAAUGUGCCACGGCCCUCGCACUGCAGAACCUCUGUAGGCGCUGUUCCCUCUGCUUAGAAGGUGCUUUCCUCCCCCUGCAGCCAGUUCUCUCCUACUUCUGUUUCAGAUCCCGGCUCAGUCAUCACUUCCUCAGUAAAUCCUUUUAUGUCCUCCCUGAACAGAUUGGAACCCCCUACUCUAUUAUUUGUGUAGCAUUAACUUCAGAAGAAAGGCCUAGCAAUCUCCUUCUGGAAAACCUACCAUUGAAACCCUGUGGAGCACAGUUCUGCUCUGACACACAUGGGGUUGCCAUGAGUUGGAGUCACCUUGAUGGCAACUGGAACUGAGUAGAACUAAUUGUACCUGUAGCAUAAAUUAUAAUUUUGUGUGUGAUUCUUCUGCACUUGUCCCCUCAGACUCUAUACGCUAUGAAGACAGAAGCUGUGUGUGAUGACGGUUGUGUCCUCCAGCCCCUGCUGUGGUGCUAGCAUAGAGUAGGGGUCCAUAGAGACUGGCUGGGAAGAGCACACAGGGUGGAGGGAACAGCAUCUGCAAGGCAUGGGGUGGGGAGGACCGGCAGCAGUUUUGCAGAAAACUGUAAGUUCUCUGUGGCUGAAGUGUGGGUUUUGCAGUGGAAGAUGGUGGGAGAUGUGGCUGGACAGGCAGGCUGCGCCCGGGCCGUGAGGGCCUGGUGUUCCAGUGUUUGUACUUAGUCUCUUCAGCUAUGGGUGGCCCUGACAUUCUCCUGUUCCCCAACCUGGGGAAGGAGGAAGAAGUGUGGGAUUGAAUCUGGGCCUUGAAAGAUGAUGGGACUCUGGUCACUUCGUUUGGUUCCCCCACUUAUAAGAUGUAACGAUUUUUAACCAUUGUCUUGCUGUUUUCUAUCAGCUACGUCUGGGACCUUGGCUGGCAUCAUGGGAAUGAGAUUCUACCACUCUGGAAAAUUUAUGCCUGCAGGCUUAAUCGCAGGUGUCAGUUUGCUGAUGGUCGCCAAGCUUGGAUUUACUGUUUUCACUAGACCCCAUCAGUCGUAGUCCCAUCCCAGCUGGAACUCACGAAGAAUUAAAAAUCUCCGAGCUGAUUGUUCUUAAUGUAAGAGACAGAAGCACAAGGCUUAAGUGCUUUCACAUAUUCUGACCUUUUUCUUAAAAAAAGCAGCACUGAGCUUUGCAGGAAAAAAUCAGUCCUUCUCAUUACAGCAACCCUCGAGUGGGUGGCAUUUAUGACUACACCCUCAUACAACUUGAUUCUUGUAUAUUGAUGUAAUCUCUUCUUUCUGUAAUUAGAGGUGAGUUCUCAGUGGGCACAAUGUUAGGUGUCAGCAUUUGGGGUGCUGGACUUCCAUGCCCUCCUCAGAGGAGCAGUGUGAAGGAAAUCGCCUCGGAGACUUAAGCCGUCUUCUGCUCAUCUUAGAACACAGACCUGAUUUGAGAUUAUGUUGCAUGAAAUAGCAAUGAAAAUAAACUUUUACUAUAAACAACA